UUCUGGCACCGUUCGCUUUUAGGAGGAAGCGGACAUAAGACGCGUAAAUCCGAAGAGAAGCUGGAAAGGCAGCGACUCCUUUUCGGGCCCGAAUCCAGGGUGGGCUCCCAGGGCGGGGAACACCCCGACGGGCCCGAGACAAAGGCAGGAGGAAGGCGCUGGGGCCGGACGCCCCCGGGGCAGCACGCGAGGGCUGCGGGAAGGGAGCCAGGGCGGCGGGGACGGGGAAGGCGGCGGCGGAGGCGUGCCCGGGGCGGGGAGCGAGCGCGGGCGCACGCAGGCGAGGGAGGGAGCGCGGCGGGGGCCGAGGCGGGGCCGAGCAUCGGUGCGUGCGCUCGGGGGGAGCCGGGGGAGGGCCCGAGGAACCGCGCGACGGUGGGAGGGCGGCGUAGGAAGGGAAGGGGCCGAGGAGGAGGUGGCCCCGCCGGGGAAGGGCCCUCAGGGGCUCUCACCCGCUUCCCGAGGAACCGCGUGCGCGGCGGCCGACGGACGCCCGUUCGUCGGCGUCCCGCGCUCCCGGCGAACCGCCCGCCGCCAUUUUGGAUCCGCUCCCUCCCCCGCGGGCUCCGCCGGCCCCGACCCCCGCCCGCCCCCUCCCCGCGUACAGCCCCGCGGGACGGAGAGCGGGCGGCGCCGCGGCCCCGCACCCCGCUCGGCUUUCCCCGCUCACCGCUCCACUGCCGCCGCCGUCGCCUCCCAGCGCAGGAGCCCGGCUCCCGCCUCGGCGCUCGCUCCGCGCUUGAGGGAAGGGGCGUGGCCAACCGUAGCGCCCGGCCCCGCCCCCCUCGCCCGCCAUCUUAUUGUCAAAGCCCACAAAGGAUCUCGCUCCCCGCCCCCGCCCUGCCGCCGGGGGCGGGGCUUUGGCCUCGGGCCACGCCCACGACGCAGCCGCAGGUCUCUAUUGGCUACCGCCGAACAGCGCAGACGGCGCUCGCCUUUGCGAUUGGUCGCGCCGUCGCCGCGGCACCCAGCCGCCCCCGCCCCUCAGGCGCCGCGCACGGGAGGCUGCACGGUUGCCGCAGCGCCGGGCCCUUCCCCUCGGCCGUGAGAGGCUGGGAGGCGGGGGCUGAGGCGGAGCCCCCAUUUCAAACGGCAGCCAAAGCCCCGCGGCGCGGCUGGGCUCCCGGCCACGGGCUCCGGCGGGAACAGGUUGAGACCUGGCCCGGCGGCAGCCCGCGGGGCCCUCGCUCUGGGAGGAGCUUCGCCCCCGGGCCGCGCCGCCCCCGCCGGGCCGCUCCGCGCCGCCGCUUCCCUCUGGGCUGA
rnacentral:lncRNA from 1 species